rnacentral:rRNA from 1 species
AACGAACGCUGGCGGCAGGCCUAACACAUGCAAGUCGAGCGCGCCCUUCGGGGUGAGCGGCGGACGGGUGAGUAACGCGUGGGAACGUGCCCUUUUCUACGGAAUAGCUACGGGAAACUGAUAGUAAUACCGAAUACGCCCUUAGGGGGAAAGAUUUAUCGGAAAAGGAUCGGCCAGCGUGGGAUUCGGUAGUUGGUGGGGUAAUGGCCUACCAAGCCGACGAUCCAUAGCUGGGUUCAGAGGAUGAUCAGCCACACUGGGACUGAGACACGGCCCAGACUCCUACGGGAGGCAGCAGUGGGGAAUCUUAGACAAUGGGGGCAACCCUGAUGUAGCCAUGCCGCGUGAGUGAUGAAGGCCUUAGGGUUGUAAAGCUCUUUCAGCUGUGAAGAUAAUGACGGUACCAGCAGAAGAAGCCCCGGCUAACUCCGUG